rnacentral:lncRNA from 1 species
CCAAAAAUCAUGCAUUUUCUAUUGAAGUUUGACAGACUCAACGUUAAGCGCUUGGUUUCACAUCAAUUAAACACUGCAGAAAAUUUUCCAAUUGAGUUAUCACACAACUUCAAUUUUUUUCGGGUCGUGUUAUUACGUAAUAAAACAAAAGCACAGAAAUAAGAACCUAGAAAUCCAUUAUUGAACUAAGCCAAAAUGAGGUAAUUUAUCUAAAUUUCCAAAACAAAGGCAGAAAAAAUUAUUCCACUAAGCCUACUAAAAUUGCGGAAUUACAUUCAUCAGAACCGUCCAUGUGUAUGCCUUCAAGUGUGUAGAACAAUUGCGGAUUUUUGGCUCACAUACUUCGCAAUUCGAUCGGGGUUAGGAUUCUUGAGCUGAAUUUGGGGAUCAUGACAAAGAAGAAUGGCCGAUUGUUUGUUCACAUACUUUCGAUUCGAUUUUGCAGGUUAGGUGCUUGAGUUGAAGUUGGGAUUACAACCGAGAACAACGGUCGAUUCUUUGUUCCCAUACUUUGCGAAUCCAUUUUGGGGGUUAGGGUUCUUCAGGUGAACGUUGGGGAUCAAUUGAUUUGGGGAAGAAGAUUGGUUGAGAUGAAAUUAGGGUUCUUCGUGAAUGGGAGAGGAGCAAUUGAUUUUGGAGAAGAAUCUAAGUUUGGCAUCUAGUAGAAAGAUUUUGUUAAAUCGUGUUUGACGAAAAUUGUAAGUCGUGUUUGGUAAGGUUUAAGGCUUUU